rnacentral:rRNA from 1 species
UACGUAGGGUGCGAGCGUUAAUCGGAAUUACUGGGCGUAAAGCGUGCGCAGGCGGUUCGUGAUGUCUGAUGUGAAAGCCCCGGGCUCAACCUGGGAAUUGCAUUGGAAACUAGCGGGCUGGAGUGUGGCAGAGGGGGGUGGAAUUCCACGUGUAGCAGUGAAAUGCGUAGAGAUGUGGAGGAAUACCGAUGGCGAAGGCAGCCCCCUGGGCUAACACUGACGCUCAUGCACGAAAGCGUGGGGAGCAAACAGG